GGCUGUUGUUAUCAGUUGAGUCCGUGCAGUCGCGUGUUUAGAGCUCUCUCCUGCGUAGAAUUAUCACAUCGAAAUCUUAUUAAGAAAACUUAACUAUUAAUAGAAGAAUGAAGACRACGUCAGCAGUGGUUCUUUUUGCGUUUCUCAUGCUGUCGCUAGUGGCAGAAGUACCAGCCAAGCCAAACAAGGUUCGAGUAUGUGUGGGACAAGCAGGGUUUAGCGAUUUUCUCUGGCAGAACUGCGAGGGACAACUAACUCAAGUCUUAAGACGACGAAAACGACACAGCUGUCGGCAACCAAAUUUCCAAGACUAUAAACGAUUUGUCUAUCAGUGUUGUGAUACCGCCUGCACGCUUGGAGAAUUCUAUGGAUACUGCUGUCUUAACUGAACGUGGGCUCAGUCGCAUUACAAAUCACCUUAAAAUAUUAUUGCAAUUAAGMAUUCACUUUUAAACAAGAUUUGUGUACAAUAAUGAACAAAAGAGAUAAAAUACAAUUGAUUUAAAUAAAAAA